AGGAUUAACGCUGGCGGCGUGCCUAACACAUGCAAGUCGAACGAGGUAGCAAUACCUAGUGGCAGACGGGUGAGUAACGCGUGGUCAACCUACCGUUGAGUGGGGGAUAACUAGCCGAAAGGUUAGCUAAUACCGCAUACGUCUCCGAGGGGCAUCCCUUGGCGAUAAAAGGAGCAAUCCGCUCGAUGACGGGACCGCGUCCCAUUAGCUAGAUGGUGGGGUAACGGCCUACCAUGGCACCGAUGGGUAGCUGGUUUGAGAGAGCGACCAGCCACACUGGGACUGAGAAACGGCCCAGACUCCUACGGGAGGCAGCAGUGAGGAAUUUUCCGCAAUGGGCGCAAGCCUGACGGAGCGACGCCGCGUGUGGGAAGAAGGCCUUCGGGUCGUAAACCACUGUCGAAGGGGACGAGUAAUGACGGUACCCUUGGAGGAAGCCCCGGCUAACUACGUGCCAGCAGCCGC
rnacentral:rRNA from 1 species